GACGAACGCUGGCGGCGUGCUUAACACAUGCAAGUCGAACGGAAAGGCCCCAGCUUGCUGGGGUACUCGAGUGGCGAACGGGUGAGUAACACGUGGGUGAUCUGCCCUGCACUUUGGGAUAAGCUUGGGAAACUGGGUCUAAUACCGAAUAUGACCACUUCUUGGAUGUUGUGGUGGAAAGCUUUUGCGGUGUGGGAUGAGCCUGCGGCCUAUCAGCUUGUUGGUGGGGUAAUGGCCUACCAAGGCGGCGACGGGUAUCCGGCCUGAGAGGGUGUACGGACACAUUGGGACUGAGAUACGGCCCAGACUCAUACGGGAGGCAGCAGUGGGGAAUAUUGCACAAGGGGCGCAAGCCUGAUGCAGCGACGCCGCGUGGGGGAUGAAGGCCUUCGGGUUGUAAACUCCUUUCGCUAUCGACGAAGCCACUUGUGGUGACGGUAGGUAGAUAAGAAGCACCGGCUAACUACGUGCCAGCAGCCGCCGUAA
rnacentral:rRNA from 1 species